CCUACGGGAGGCAGCAGUGAGGAAUAUUGGUCAAUGGGCGUAAGCCUGAACCAGCCAAGUCGCGUGAGGGAUGAAGGUUCUAAGGAUCGUAAACCUCUUUUAUAAGGGAAUAAAGUGCGGGACGUGUCCCGUUUUGUAUGUACCUUAUGAAUAAGGAUCGGCUAACUCCGUGCCAGCAGCCGCGGUAAUACGGAGGAUCCGAGCGUUAUCCGGAUUUAUUGGGUUUAAAGGGUGCGUAGGCGGCCUUUUAAGUCAGCGGUGAAAGUCUGUGGCUCAACCAUAGAAUUGCCGUUGAAACUGGGAGGCUUGAGUAUGUUUGAGGCAGGCGGAAUGCGUGGUGUAGCGGUGAAAUGCUGAGAUAUCACGCAGAACCCCGAUUGCGAAGGCAGCCUGCCAAGCCAUGACUGACGCUGAUGCACGAAAGCGUGGGGAGCAAACAGGAUUAGAUACCCGGGUAGUC
rnacentral:rRNA from 1 species